rnacentral:rRNA from 1 species
UACGAAGGGGGCUAGCGUUGUUCGGAAUUACUGGGCGUAAAGGGCGCGUAGGCGGUGCCUCAAGUCAGGCGUGAAAGCCCCGGGCUCAACCUGGGAACCGCGCUUGAGACUGGAGUACUAGAGUUCGGGAGAGGGUAGUGGAAUUCCCGGUGUAGUGGUGAAAUGCGUAGAUAUCGGGAGGAACACCAGUGGCGAAGGCGACUACCUGGCCUGUUCUUGACGCUGAGGCGCGAAAGCUAGGGGAGCGAACGGGG